rnacentral:tRNA from 1 species
GGGCGCGUAGCUCAGUGGACAGAGCGCUGGCCUUCUAAGCCAAUGGUCGCAGGUUCGAAUCCUGCCGCGCCCG